rnacentral:rRNA from 1 species
UACGUAGGGGGCGAGCGUUGUCCGGAAUCAUUGGGCGUAAAGAGCGUGUAGGCGGCUUGGCAAGUCUGACGUGAAAGCCCGCGGCUCAACCGCGGAUUGUCGUUGGAAACUGCCUCGCUAGAGUCCGGAAGAGGAGAGCGGAAUUCCUGGUGUAGCGGUGGAAUGCGCAGAUAUCAGGAAGGAACACCAGGUGGCGAAGGCGGGCUCU